rnacentral:rRNA from 1 species
CCUACGGGUGGCAGCAGUGAGGAAUAUUGGUCAAUGGACGAGAGUCUGAACCAGCCAAGUAGCGUGAAGGAUGACUGCCCGAUGGGUUGUAAACUUCUUUUAUAGGGGAAUAAAAUGUGCCACGUGUGGGAUUUUGUAUGUACCAUAUGAAUAAGGAUCGGCUAACGCCGUGCCAGCAGCUGCGGUAAGACGGAGGAGCCGAGCUGUAUCCGGAUUUAUGGGGUUUAAAGGGGGCGUAGGUGGAUUGUUAAGUCAGUUGUGAAAGUUUGCGGCUCCACCGUAAAAUGGCAGUUGAAACUGGCAGUCUUGAGUACAGUCGCGGUGGGCGGAAUUCGUGGUGUAGCGGU